rnacentral:rRNA from 1 species
GGCAGGCCUAACACAUGCAAGUCGAGCGGUAGCACAAGAGAGCUUGCUCUCUGGGUGACGAGCGGCGGACGGGUGAGUAAUGUCUGGGAAACUGCCUGAUGGCGGGGGAUAACUAGUGGAAACGGUAGCUAAUACCGCAUAACGUCGCAAGACCAAAGUGGGGGACCUUCGGGCCUCACGCCAUCAGAUGUGCCCAGGUGGGAUUAGCUGGUAGGUGGGGUAACGGCUCACCUAGGCGACGAUCCCUAGCUGGUCUGAGAGGAUGACCAGCCACACUGGAACUGAGACACGGUCCAGACUCCUACGGGAGGCAGCAGUGGGGAAUAUUGCACAAUGGGCGCAAGC